ACCGACGUCGCUCCUGCUCCGCCCGCUGCUGCCUUCGCCGCGCCUCGCCUGUAGCCCGCGACGCCGCUGCUCUGCCGUGCCUUCGCCAUGCCCCGACGUCGCUCCUGCUCGGCCCGCUGCUGCCUUCGCCGCACCUCGCCUGCAGCCCGCGACGCCGCUGCUCUGCCUUCCCCGUGACUCGAAGUCGCGCCCGAAGCCAUGCCCCAAAGCCCGCGAUGCCGCAGCUCUGCCUUGUCUUUUCUUUUAAUCUUCGAAAUAGAAACAUUGCUUAGAGUCUUAUGUUUUUCGUGGUGCUUGUCUGACACUCGUUGUUGUUUUGUAGUUAGUUGGGCUUGAUGUUUUGGAAAUCUGAGUAGAACAUGUGAAAACAAAAUGUCUUUCAGUGACGUGCUUACUUGGUUGCACUUUACUGGAUAAGUGUAGAGAAGAAGCCCCCAUUUUGCUGUCUCUUUUGUUUCUUUAACCUGAUGGCCAAUAUAUAUGAUGUUUUCUUAUAAUUCUGAAAGUCUUUAGUCCUUAUGCCGUUGAGGUGUGCUCUUUUAGUAAGCUCAAUACAGGAGUAAUUCCAUCGGGGUUUAUGGACCCUGGUUUGGAAGUCAUGAUUACUUAUUUGCUGUAAUGAAUUGUGCUUUAAAUGUUUGAUUUUGGUUGAUAUAGUCCCCUUUAUGCAAUGUUCUAUUCCUAAUAAGUUCAUUUCUCAUAAGCUGUUUAAAGGAGAGCAAAACAUUCUUGAAUAUUUCUUCCCUCGUGAAUGCAGCUUUAACCUUAAGUACCUACCAACAUUGGUGGAAAGAGAUGUUCAUUGAAAGACAUGGAAUAUGUGGCACGCCUGCUACAAGAGUAGUUUGCAUUCUCUUGUUCAUGCUCAGGAGGAGAGGAAGAGACAACCUAGACAAGGCUUAUAUGUUUGAAACGGGAAGCCUUCAGAUGCUCCAGUGAGGAGAUGUGGGUAUGAGAUGAAGACUCCAGUUAAAUGGGAAGAGGGAAGACGUAGGAAGGAGAUUAUAAGAAAAGAUGUGGACCACUUAGAUCUUAUGGAAGUCUUGACACAAAGUGCAAUGGCAUUGGAAGAAUUCAUAUGGCUAACCCUACUUAAUAGGAUAACAUUUAAUUUGUUUGUGGUAAAUAUUGUGUGGUGAAAUUGUAUCUGGUACAUGACGUAGCUUGAUGUACUUUAUAUUAGAUGUAAACUCACGGCCUCUUUUAUUACAGGAAGCUUUACAUGAAAAAGGACUUCGAGAUGAUACAACAUGCAUUGUUAUCGAUAUAUUACCACAAGAUAAACCAAUGGCUUCUUUGCCACCACCGAAGAAGCCAGGAAAAGGAGUAUUCAAGUCAAUUUUUCGUAAAAAGUCAUCCGAAUCAUCUUCUCAGAUUGAUCAAGAAUAUAUUGAGCCAGAUGUAGUGGAGGAGUUAUAUGAGGACGGAUCCACAAUGCUCUCAGAAAGGUCUACAUCUUAACCUCCACUUUCAGUCACAACAAUGGAUCUUUUUUUACAGUAAUUUGGUGGACCACUCUUGUAUGCCUAACUGUGAUUGCAUGACGUAUCAAUGUUUCUUUGACUAAGAAAUGCUUGUAAAAUGCAGGCUAGAUACAAAAUACCCCCUAUGCAACAUGUUUAGGCUGUUCAUGUGUUCUGUAUGUCAAGUAGAGCUAAAGCCGGGAGAGGGCAUAUCCAUACAUGCCGGUUCAUCAAAUCCAGGAAAAGAGCGUUGAUAGUUUCUUGAAUAUCCAGUUUCUGACUUCAAAGCUGAGAGACGAAUGAUACCAGCCUCUUUGCAGGGUAUGUGGACGGAUGUCAUAAGUUUGGCUGUCCUAAUGAUAUGCCAGAGGUAAUUAACUUUUUUAAUUUUGAAUUCAUUCCGCUGUACACCGUUUCUUCCAAUUGUAGAGCUAACAUUCAAGUUUACCCAAUCUCCACUGUAAUAUCAACGUAAAGGGUGCUUGAUGAGGGUUCAUAUGCCCAAUUGGCUUCUUGAAUGAUUGUUGCUUUGUUCUUCCUUUUUGAAAAGUAGGGAAGUCAGUUUGUGGAAUAGAUAUGGGGAACUGAUGAUUCUCCGCAAGAGGCGCAUCUGUAUGUACUUUGUUGGGUAGUGACAUUUUUUCAUUGAAUAGAAAUCAGGCUGUUGAAGCUCUCUUGUCCAUUCUACUAAUACUGCUUCCGUUGCUUGGUCAGUUAGUCUAUAGCUUGAGGUUAUGGGCAUCUAAAUUCAUGAAAUUUGUUUAUGCGUUGUUCGAUCAAAUCUGAUGAACUUGAUUCCAUCAAAGCACUUUCAUCAUCUGUUAUUUUCCUCCUUUUACUGUCCUAUCUUUGAUGAAUGACAAGUUUGUUUAUUAUUGCUGCAUUCAUUUUCAUUUUUUUUAAACUAAAAAUGAAAAAAAAAAAGAACCUGUUGGAACCUGGAACCAACCCCGGAACCUGUGACAGGGUAGGUUCUAGGUUCUUGGUUCUGACGGGUAGGUUCCAGGUUCCAAAAAAUGAGGAACCUGUAUUUGAGGGUAGGUUCCAGGUUCCAAGCGGAACUUGUAAAGAACCGGGAACCGCUCACCCCUACAUAUCCCAGAUUGCAACUUCAUAAAAGUGAUUACAAACUGAAACUUUUUAUUUUAAUUUGUUAUGAUGCAAUUCAUGGAACAUUGUAGGUUUUUUUUUUCUUCGCAUUUGAAGCUCACCGUUGUGGAAGCUUGAGAAUUUAUCAUUUGAUUAUCUCCUUAGCCUGCUGAUAGAAGUUGACUUAUAGAAAAAAUUGAGAUCGGAUUCACACUUUCUCAAUAGACAAUGUUAAAGAUAUUAUUAGGUUACUGCUGGUGCUUUGUUUUAGCUAAACUAGAUUUCACUCUAAUGUUGUAUAUUUCUAUAUACUGUACUUACUCUUGUUUAUAGAAAUAAGACAUGUUAACUAUACUGCUGUCUUAUUUAUGCUGAAAAUGUAUUGUCUACAUCUUGUUGACCAUCAUAUUUACAUCUUUUUAGGUGCAACCUAAGUGCACAGAUUGAUAGGCUUAUGAGGCUCCUAUUUCCAACAAUCAUCACAAUCAAUGAAGAUACCAAUGAAUUCGUUACAAUCAAUGACAUCAGUCCCACUAAUCAUCAACGAUACAUAUGUGCUUUUUUAUUUUAUUUUAUUGUGGCUUGAAAUGUUCAUUACAAGUAGCAAAGACGAAAAAGAAUUGAGGAAGAAGAUAUCACGGUUGCCCAAAAUACAAGAUUGGAGAAAGUUUCUGUUUUUUUUCUUUUUUGCUUGGGUUGAUGUAGAAAUUAGUCCAUCAGCAAGAAAUGUGUCAAAAAAUUUUCAUUGAAGCAAUGUUGAAGAGAAACUAUCAAGCCAUACUGAGGAUGAUAGCAAUUCAAUAGAUGCAUAAUUAAGAGUUUUCGAGGCACAACUGAAAAUUUUCGAACAAGAUGUGUCAAAGUUAAAGAAACAAAAUUCAGCAUUGAAGACAAUGUUAGUUGUGUCGUGGGUGUUUAUAGUGAUUUUAGGAAACUUGUUAUUUCGAAAUAUGAAGAUGAAUAAUAUAAUGAGCUUGCCGUAAAAUGUAUUAAUGUCGUUUGCAUUAUUAAGUUAUUUGAGUAGAUGUCAUGUAUUUGUCCACAUGAAAUUCGAACAUGAAUGAAGUGCAAGUUUUUUGCAAACUCCUUUGUUUUGCUUGGAAAAUGUAUCGCACUAGGUGAUUAAGAAACAUAUCUAGAAGGCCAGUAUAGUAAAACAAACAAACAUCAGUGUGUUCGAUCUUAAAACAAGUCUUUGGCGCAGUAAUUAGACUACACUCCUCCCAUUCAGUCACGCCCCAAACCAAGUCGCUUUUCUUGAAGUUUGGAUGUACAUCAGUCAUUUGCUCAACCUUUGUUACUAUAUUCCUAGUUCACCUUUUCAGUGCUGCAUUCAUGUUUAGUUCUUCCUUAUAGUUGAAAGCAUCAUCAAAUCCAAACUUGUUCUUCAUCAAAUUAACCUUUUUUCUUGAACAUAACAGCAAGCGAGAAUUUUAAGUAAGUAUAAAAUCGGGAAGAGAAUAUUAAGCAAAUUCUAUUUAAGGAAACUAGAUAAAUGCGAGAUGACUACUUUCUUUUUGCUACCGACGCUACCAUACCCAACACUUCAUUUUUAAAACCUCAUUGUUUCAUUGAGCAUACAAAAUUUGGCGUUCAAACCCGAAACCUCAUUUUUUUCUCUAUUUCUUGCCCAACAACCUUUUUUGAAAUAAACUUGGGCAACUCUUUUUUUUUUCUUUAAAGCUUUGGGAAAUAAAUUCAUACGUAUUCCUGUACUCAAAAUUAAUCCAUUAAACUUUGUAUGCACCUAAUUUAAAACCUUAUUGUGUUAUUGAGCAAAUAAAAUUUGACGUUCAAAUCUGACACCCCAGUUAUUUUCUAUUUUCUUGCCCAACCACCCUUUUUGGAAAUAAUCUUAGGCAACUCCUUUUUUUUUUUCUUCUUUAAAGCUUUCGGAAAUAAAUUUGUACGUGCUCCUAUAUUCCAAAUUAAUCCAUCAAAUUUUGCACGCUCCUAGUUUAAAACCUUAUUGUGUUAUUGAGCAAAUAAAAUUUGGCGUCCAAACUUGACACCCAAUUUAUUUUCUAUUUUCUUGCCCAAGCAUCAUUUUUGGAAAUAAUCUUGGGCAACUCUUUUUUUUUUCUUUAAAGCUUUCGGAAAUAAAUUUGUAUGAGCUCCCGUACUCAAAAUUAAUCCAUCAAAUUUUGUACACACCUAGUUUAAAACCUCAUUGUAUUAUUGAGCAAAUAAAAUUUGGUAUCCAAACCUAACACCCAAUUUAUUUUCUAUUUUCUUGCACAAGCACCAUUUUUGGAAAUAAUCUUGGGCAACUAUUUUUUUUUCUUUAAAGCUUUCUGAAAUAAAUUCAUACGUACUCCCGUACUCAAAAUUAAUCCAUUAAACUUUGCACGCACCUAGUUUAAAACCUACUUGUUUUAUUGAGCAUAUAAAAUUUGGCGUCCAAAUCUGACACUUCAUUUUUUUUUCUCUAUUUCUUGCCCAACAACUGGACACCUCAUUUUUUUCUUUAUUUCUUGUCUAACAACCUUUAUUGAAAUAAACUUGGGUAACCUUUUUUUUUUUUCUCUUUAAAGUUUUCGGAAAUAAAUUCGCACGUGCUCCUGUACUCAAAAUUAAUCCAUUAAAGUCUGCACGCACCUAGUUUAAAAUCUCAUUGUGUCAUUGAGCAAAUAAAAUUUGGCGUCCAAACCCGACACUUAAUUUAUUUUCCAUUUUUUUGCCCAACCACCUUUUUGGGAAAUAAUUUUGGGCAACUCUUUUUUUUUUUUCUUUAAAAUUUUCGGAAAUAAAUUCGUAUGAGCUCCUGUACCCAAAAUUAAUCCAUCAAAUUUUGCACGCAUCUAGUUUAAAACCUCAUUGUGUUAUUGAGCAAAUAAAAUUUGGCGUCCAAAUCCGACACCCAUUUAUUUUCUAUUUUCUUUUCCAAUCGCUCUUUUUGGAAAUAAUCUUGGGCAACUCUUUUUUUUUCUUUAAAAGUUUUCGGAAAUAAAUUUGUAUGAGCUCCCGUACUCGAAAUUAAUCCAUCAAACUUUGGUAUGCACCUAGUUUAAAAUCUCAUAUGUGUUAUUGAGCAAAUAAAAUUGUCGUCCAACCCGACACCUCUAUUUAUUUUCUAGUUUACUAGCCCAACCACGUCUGUCUUGCAAAUAAUCUUAGGGCAAACUACUAUUUUUUUUUCUUUAAAGCUUUCAGAAAUAAAUUUGUACGAGCUCCCGUACUCAAAAUUAAUCAAUCAAAUUUUGUACGCACUUAAUUUAAAACCUCAUUGUGUUAUUGAGUAAAUAAAAUUUGGUGUCCAAACCCGAUACCCCAUUUAUUUUCUAUUUUCUUGCCCAACCACCAUUUUUAGAAAUAAUCUUGGGCAGCUCUUUUUCUUUUUCCUUUAAAGCUUUCAAAAAUAAAUUUGUACAUGCUCUCCCACUCAAAAUUAAUCCAUCAAACUUUGCACGCACCUUGUUUAAAAUCUACUUGUUUUAUUGAGCAUAUAAAAUUUGGUGUCUAAACCCGACAAUUCAUUUUUUUCUCUAUUUCUUGCCCAACAACCAUUUUUGAAAUAAAUUUGGGCAACCUUUUUUUUUUCUUUAAAGUUUUUGGAAAUAAAUUCUCACGUUCUCCCAUACUUAAAAUUAAUCCAUCAAACUUUGCAUGCAGCUAGUAUAAAACCUCAUUGUGUUAUUGAGCAAAUAAAAUUUGGUGUCCAAACCCAACACCCUUUUUAUUUUCUAUUUCUUGCCCAACCACCUUUUUAGGAAAUAAUCUUGGGUAACUCUUUUUUUUUCUUUAAAGCUUUCGGAAAUAAAUUCGUACGAGCUCCCGUACUCAAAAUUAAUCUAUCAAACUUUGCAUACACCUAAUUUAAAACCUCAUUGUGUUAUUGAACAAAUAAAAUUUGGUGUCCAAACCCAACGCCCUAUUUAUUUUCUAAUUUCUUGCCUAACCACCAUUUUAUGAAAUAGUCUUGGGCAACUCUUUUUUUUUUCUUUCUUUAAAGCUUUCGAAAAUAAAUUCGUACGAGUUCCCGUACUCAAAAUUAAUCCAUCUUAUGCUUCGGAAAAGGCUGAUGCAUCCGAUGACCUGAAUGAGGAAGAAAAAAAAUGCAAAUUAUUCCUUUUGUUAGCUGAUGCAUCAUCUAUUGGCAGCCCUAGUACUAAUGGCAAGAAUUGGUCAUCAAGUUUAGUAAAUUGCUGUAUCAGGAAUACUUCUGGCGAUCUUAGUGAUGCUGAAUAAUUUGUAGCAUAAUCUAUCAUGGAGUUCAUAUUCUUUUUUGACAAUAGCAAAAUUGAAGGCAACAUCCCUUCCUUCGCCUCAUCCAAUCACUGUCCAGUUCUAAGGUUUCCAGACUUUCAAUUGGGCUGAGGAUGCAAAUGCCAAUCCUUUGCCAAUCUCUGCUCAUUUCGACAAACAAGCAUCUGGUAGGGCUCUAUUCUUGAGACAAUUCAAUAUGACCUGCUAUUAUGAUGAAAGAAGUACUCAUACAUUGAGUAUAAAAGAGCAAAUGAUGGCAUGCACAAUCUUAUUACUUCACGAACAAACACUAUCUAUACAUUAUUCAAGUAAAAAUUAGAUGAAUACACCCAUUUUACUAUAAUAAGAUGGUUUAAAAGCACAUCAUCUCACUGAUCCCAACUGUUAUACAAAUGGCCAUAUAAGAUAAAUCAAAAAGAUGCAUCCACAACCCUACUUCAUUGAUGCCAUUAUCAAUAAAAAUAACAAAUUGAUCAACACCACUUCACCAAUCACAUUAUCACAAAAGAUAUUACCACAACAUGUCAAAACUAAACAUUCCCAAAUGUUGUCACUUUUGUUUAUUUGAAUAACUUCUAAUGCUAGUGCUCUUGACAUUAGUAGGGGGAUUCAUACUAGUAGAACCGCUGGCACGACCACUUGCAUUUUUACUUGUAUUUCUCUAAACCUGCAAAGAGUAUAUUUUUUUAAAGUAUUAUUGAUGAAACAAGCAUGACAUAAUAGAAACGGAAGUACUAACCGGAAUUUUUUGUCUUGAAAGUUGUGUUUGAGAAGAUAUAGACCUAAUCUUCUUAAUUGGACAAGUUGAACUAUUAUGUCCCGUCUUCAAGCAAGUUCGACAUGUCAUCUUCAUUCCUAUCCUCGACAUCCUAGUUCCACUUGCCACCCCACUUUCCUCUUUUGAUCUUUUAUGUUUACGUCUAUCUCGCUUUACCGGGCUUGGAAAUGGUUUAGGCGGCUCCUCAUAAGUCUUUUUCCAAAAUCUCUUUCCUUGAAUUGGCAUCAUCAUGUUUUCAUACGCUGCUAAGAACUUGAUCUUCUUAUAACAUUUAUCAACAUAGUUAUAUGCAUCUUCUUGCCUAUGAUUUAUUGUAGAAAUGGCAUGAGGACAAGGGAUGCCAGUAAGUUACCAUUUUCUACAAGAGCAAUCUCUCUUGAAUACAUCCACUACAUAUUUGUCAUCCUUAUCCAUUACCUCAUAUCGAGUAUCACCAUUCCAUAUCACUUGAUAGUAUGUUGCACAAAUUCUAUUUUCUUCUAGUUUUCUUACGAUUCUUCGACCACAAUCUUUUUUCCAUUUAGCACAUGCAUCCUUCUAUGUUUGCAUCAUUGUCAUUAAUUAUCUUCAUUUCCUCUAACAUACUAUAUAUGAACUUACACCUAGUAUGUGUAAUUUUUCCAUUGAAUGUCUCGUAUAAAUUAUUGUCAAUAAUGUCACAUUUCACAUCAGUAUUAAAUAAAGCCUUGCACCAGUGCUUUAGCUCUGUUGCACCAGAUCAUGAUAUGCACAAGGACUAAUUUUCUUCAAUGCCUGAGAGUGUUUAUCAUACUAUGUCCUAGUAUUGCUCUUAGCACACUGCCAAAAUAGUCUUUACAUUUGUAUUCAUUUAUGUUUCUUGCCCCAAUUAGCAUAGAUGUGUCUAGGACACAUUCUAUGCUCAGUUGUAGGCAGUAAAUCAGCCACAACUCCUAUAAGGCCCUUGUUACGCCUUGAUCCUUGGGCAUGCACCAAUGCCUUACUUGGUUAAUUAAUAGCGAUGUCCUAGGACACAUUGCCGAUCCUUUCAUUUUAAUACGCAUGCGGAAGCAAAUAUAAAAUCCUCAGACAAUAAAAUAAUGAGAUAGGAAAGUAGGAUUAAAAACUCGAACUUGAACCAACACACUUAUAUACAUAUAUAACAACUUAGUCAUAUAUAUACAUAUGCAAGCUAUACUAGAAAGUCGGUUCCUACUCAACGAUCUCUCAUUCUUCAUCACUCUAGUUAGUGCCCUUAGGUGCGUACAUUGGAGAGUUAGAAUCAUCCUCAAGAUUAGGAUCAUUUGCAUCCACCACCGAUUCAUCUUUAUGGUCUGCUGUACUCUUUCCAAAAGUAGCUUCCAAAACGAACCGGGGUACAUCAGAUUCCGGCACAGGACCCUCCCUUCACCUGUCAUGGUAGUGGCGAUGCCAUGACCGAUACCUAUAGGGCACCUUAUCGGGUUCAUUCACAUCAACCCAAAUGGUUGACUUCACUAGUACAUAUUUUAGUCUUUCGGGGUGGGGGUGUAUCGGGAAGUGGUAUCCUAUCUCAAUGAUUUCUUCGAGCAUACCAAAAUACAUGAGAGGAUGAGGAGGUGGAGGUGUUGCCAUCUAGGGACCUGAAAUGUUGUCCCACAAUGGGGCGAGACUACGUCUCAGCAAGUUCUACCCCCUAAUACCUGAUUAGGAAGUCAAUAUGCCCUAAGGGCUGCCUAAACACAACAUGGGUUAGAGCAUUUACCUCGGCCUCAGUUCCAUCCUACAAUUCAGUAUAUAUAUAUAUAUCAAAUAUACACAAUCACAUCAUAUCACCAAAUUAGAUUGAAUUAUCGAUCAAUUGACUCAGUCGACUACAUGUCACAAUGACCUUUCCCUGGUCGGUAUAUUCAAUAUUAUCUAUAAAGUCAUAUUAAUUUAGGAUUGCUCACCCAAAGCUGAUAAUAUAUAGUAUAGCUCGCUCAAAGCUGAUAAUAUAGUAUACUGUAUAUGUGCUCAUCCAAAGUUGAUCAUAUGUGCUCACACAAAGCUGAUAAUAUGUGCUCACCUAAAGCUGAUAAUAUGGUAUACUAUUUAUACGCUCGCCCAAAACUGAUAAAUUAGAGCCCUUAGGCCAAGAUAGUAUACCAUUUUCAUUAUAUAACAGUUCAUCAUUUUUAUCAUACUUGAUAAAAAUAGUCGUGUAUGAGUACACGGUCGGCCUUAGCCAAAAUACAGUAUUUUCACCCUUGAAAAUUUCACCAUUUAUAUGGUCUACCAAAAUAUUUUUGGCAUUGUAAACCAACACUUGGUUAAUUUCCAAUCAAUUACCAAAAUUGAUUAAUUUAGGAAUAAAUUCCUAAAAAUACAAUUAAAUCAAUUCAGUACAAAUUACAACUCUAAUAAAUAAAUAGACUGCACCACAAUAAUCAACAUAAAAUUCCGAUCAUCGACUAUCCCAACCUAAUUUUUGGAAAAUAAAUAAAUAAAUAAAUAAUUACGAAAAAUAUUAAAUAAAUGCAAUAAAUCCAAUUUAAGCCUGUAAUGCCUAAUUAGACGCCGAAACGGACUUGGAAAAUUUCCAAGGUUCGAUUAAUAAAUAAUAACACCAGUCUACUUGCUAAUGUCACUAACCAUUUGCCUAACAUGCAAUAAUAAAGCACUAAUUUAAUUACUCUACUCUAAUCUAUCCACUUAAUCAUACUUAAUUAAAUCUAAUCAACCAUUAAGCAUCAUUAGCCUACUAAGCGAAGUUUAGUGAGCAAAACUCACUUGAUUAACGAACGGGUCGGAUCAAACCGACGGGAAUGUCGCGGGGGACAAUUCUUCUCAAAGCAGGCUUAGGUUUUGAGGUUGGGAUUAACCUCAAAACGGGCCUAGAAGUUGCUGAAAUACCCACACGACUUGCUGCUGUUCUUGGCUGGAAAACAAAGGAAAUAGGGCUGGUUAAGGCGAGCAAGACUGGCGGUGGCAACGGUGAGGCCAAGCAGCUAAAGGCGGGGACUCACGGUGGUUCCGGUGACUCACAUGGCCACACACGGUGUCGGGGACGAGCUAAGUAGUCCACGAAUAGCCAGGGAUGGCAACUGUAGCGGCGUAAGGGCAAGAUGGGCGGAGGGCACGCGUGUAGGGCAAUGCGCGCGCGGACGGCGGACAGCGGUGGCGUGCGAUCCUAGUGGUGGCAUGGCUGCUUCCGGUGGCUUCUCUGUUGGCUGGGGUGUCAAGCAAGGCAAUGAGGGGGAGUGGAGUGGGGUGGACGGUGAAAUGGCUAGUACGAGCGCCUAGAGGGGGUGAAUAGGUGAUCAAAGAAAUUUUUGUAUAUCUUAUCAAUGUGAAAGCUAGUAUGAGCACCUAGAGGGGAGUGAAUAUGUGCAUAAACAAUUUUGCAAGAUAUAUGCAGUGUUAAUCAAGAGUCACCAAUAUGUAGAAGAUGUACUUUGUGGCUUGAAAAUAAUCAACCAUAGGUCAAAUACAUGAAAAUUUCAUAAAAGCUAUUCCGGUAGAUUAUGACGCAUUAAAUUCGAGCCAAAUUGAAAUUAACCGUGAAAUUGAAAUCGAAUUCAGAAAUUGAGAGUUCUGUUAUGUCACAUGUUGUUUUAGGAGUGUUGGUUUAGUCUUAGAAGAUUUUUCAGCAAUCCAAGACUUUUUUGGAAAAAGUCGAGGUAGGGCCGUUUUCAAUCAGAAUUUGCAGAUGACUGUUUUUUAUUGCGAAUUUGGGAUGCCAGUGGGUUAUAUUGGUGAGAAAAAAAAAUACUAAUUUGAUUGAGGACUCCACAAUUGAUUUUUCAGAGGCCAGAUUGAAUUGUUUCAAGAAGAAUUGAAGUCCAAAUUGUGCCAUUUCUCUUGCAAAAUUCGUAUGCCACAUAUACCGAACAUUUUGGACUAUCUAAGGGCUUCUAGAAGGGGCAAAAUAGUCUAGAAAAUAUGGGUAGGUGACAGUUGGGUGGUGGGCCAUGUUUGAGUGACCUGAGAGAGAGAGAGAGAGAGAGAGAGAGAGAGAGAGAGAGAGAGAGAGAAAUUGGUUCCCCCCCCCCCCCCAACUCUUUCUUCUGUUGAGCUCCUCCUCCAUCUCAAUCUUCUUCUUCUUCUUCUUCUUCUUCUUCUUCUUCUUCGGAUGGUAGCAACCAUGGAGAUCGACCAGCAAGCCGCUAGACCUCAUGGUGUCGCACGCCCUCGCCGUCGCACCGGACUGCCGUUACUCAGCCCCACUCUUUCUUCCUCCCCUUCUCUGUCCGUCUAGCAGCUUCUCUCCUCCAUCCCCUUGCUUUGCGAUGCCCUUGCAAGCCAAAGAUGGCGAGGCUAGCAGCACCGUCGGAGUAGUCGCACACCAUUGCCGCUCGUCGUCCAAGCCUCGCGCACACGCCGUCGCUGCUUGCCGCUGCUCUGCACGGCUCCGGCUCCCUCUCACUUGCCCCUGUGUCGCAGCUGCUGCCUCAUCUCAUGCCAGAGCCGUUUAGCCACCUUUGGCCACCUUGAGACCCUGCUAUUGGCCGCACGGCACAGCUGCAGCUCCUCUGCCCAUUUUCGACCCAAGAUGGCACCGGAUUUGCCCUUUCUCAGCCUCAACCAGCAGAGGAUGGCAGCUGGAAAAUGGGUAUCCCUGCUCGGUUUUGGCCUAUUUUGGCUGGCUUCCCGGCCCCGAAAGCUUGGCCUACCUUGAGGAAAGUCAAUCCCCACGACGUUCCCAUCUUUUUUGUCCGAAUAGUUCGUUAAUCGGGUGAGUUUAGCCUCUAAUCCUUGAUUAGAGGGUUAAUGAUGCUUAUUGGGGGUUUAGCUUAAGCUAAGUAAGCUUAGGUGGUUAAUUAUAUUUAGUUAAGUGUGGAUUAGAUUAAGAGGUGUGAUUAGUUUAGUGCAUGAUUAAUUAAGCUAAGUAGAGGUUUAGAUUAGUAUAAUCUUGUUUAGACCUUAAUUGAUUAUUUUAGAUUAUUUAAUUAUUUAAUAAAAAUAUAUAUUUUAAAAUAUUAAUAAAAUAUUAUUAUUUAAUUAAUUUUCGGAAUAAAUUUAAUUAUUUAUUAUUUUCCAGAAAUUUUUCCGAGACCUUAAAUUGUCGGAAUUUCGUGCUAAUUGUUAUUAUGUAUUUCAGAUUAUGCAAUUAAUGGUUAGAUAUUGCAAAUUGAGUGUUGGUUGUGAAAAAUAUGAACUUCAUUUAGAAAAUCCUAGGUGUCGGGUUUUGAUACCAAAAUUGAAUUUUAAGGAUUAUAUUAAAUGGUGGGGUUUGAAAAAGUAAGAUAUUGGUUUUCUGGUUCGAAAUUAAUGUGCCCCCACACACGUGAAUAAUUUAUGGAACAUUUUUAAUAUGAAGAAAAUAGGCCGGGAUCACUAUUUUAAAUAGAAGCAUUGAGUGAAAUGCAAAGUAUCCUGGGCCGAGUAUGAACUUGUUGUGUGUUAAUUAAGAGAAAAUUGUCCUGUGCUAUUGAGCCGGACUAGCCCUUAUAUGGGAUGCCCCAUACAACGGAUGUGGGUCGUAGUAGAUUCUGGGCCCACGCUCCUUUAGGAACGCCGUUGACAUAGUGACGAAGUUGUGCUCCAAGGUGGGGAGACAAUGCCUGGGAUUAAUGUCAGUAGACAGGGAUAAGGCUUAGCAGUCNNNNNNNNNNNNNNNNNNNNNNNNNNNNNNNNNNNNNNNNNNNNNNNNNNNNNNNNNNNNNNNNNNNNNNNNNNNNNNNNNNNNNNNNNNNNNNNNNNNNGGUUAUGCCCCAUGUUAUGGCAAUGAAUACCAUUGAAAUGCAUGCUGAGUGUGUUAACGUGUCGGAUUAUGAGACGAAAUUGUGUAGUAUGGUAUGGGACGUGUCAUAAUGAUUCGGUCUUAUAAUUAGGACCCCUGUGGUUGUUGAUUAUCUGAAGUUAUUGCGUUCUGGUUGCUUAAGCUCAUAUUACUGCACAUGAUUGAGUGAUAUGAAUAUGAUUGAGUGAUUUGAAUUAUGCCAACUUAUAGAAAGGAACUGAGGCGAGUUAAGUCCUCUGUGUGGUGUGGCUAGGCCAUCCUGGGGUGUAUUUCCUUUCUAAUAGGGGUUUAGGGGGUGAACUUGCUGAGACAUUGUCUCACCCCGUUGUGGGCCUAUAUUUUCAAGUCCCUAGUGAACGAAGCGGCCAAUUUGUUUUGGUUGGCCUUGAAGAGUUGUAGAGGUGAAGUCAGAAGGAUUGGAGAACGUGUUCGACUUGUAGGUCGUAGAACAGUUCAUUUUUAAGAGCCGAUCUUUUGUAGACUUUUGGUUGUAGACCUCUGUUUGUAAACUCUGUUGAUUUAUGAAAGUGUAUUGUUGUGAAAUUGCUUCUUGUUGCUCUAUCACGAAUUUUAUUGUCGAGGGUUUUAUAAUAUGCUUCCGCAUGUGCAUAUAAAAAGAAUUGGGUUGGCGACGCAUCUUAGGAACGUCGCAUUUACAUGACCGGAUGGGAUGUUCGCGUAUCUCGGGGUUCGGGGCGUGACAUUGCGAUGGGCAUACACCCUUUUAAUUUCAACAAGCCUUCUUAGUUAGAUAUUGAGCCUCACAUAUCAUGCACAUGUCUAUGUGAUGUCAUCUAUUUUCUCGCACAAAGUAAGUUUUUUAUCUAUGCACUUUGCAAUUUACUUACCUUCCUGUAUAUAUUGAGCAGUCCAUGAUUAGUCUAGAAUUCAAUACCACAGUCAUUUAAAUUUGAAAGUAAUUGUCAUAUAUAUAUAUUUAUUUAAAAUAUUGGCAAAGGAAACUUUCAGUUGGUGUCUUUGUUUUUCCUCAAGCAUGUUACAAAGUUCUUUUCCACAAGAAUUUUCAUUUGCUUCGAAAAUGAUAGAAGUCUUUUUUAAAAUUUAUUACAAUUCAUGCUUUCUUCGCCUUUUAAAUUAAAUAUCUUUUUAGUCUAUGCUAAUAUGUUGCAUGUCUUUCAAUCCCUGUUUAGGAAAUCCUCUACAUGUACAAACUUUUCAUAAAUAAACAAAAGGGUAGGAUUAGGUCGUCAUCAUGGAUUGACUCCCUAUUUAUGCCCUAUAUUUAUGCAUGCUUGUUUAUUCAUGACCAAGUAAUCACGGAAUGUCAACGUUCACCGAUCCAGAGUCGUUCAAAAGUAAGAGUAAGAAUGGCCAAAGAGAAUGUACCAAGCCGUGUUGCGACCAUGGAAAGCGAAAUGAAGUAAGUCUCCAAUGUGCUUCAACAGCUCUCAAAGUAGAUAGACUCCAUCUAGGGCAAACUUACUCCCGCCUCAGUCUCAGUCGAGGUAUUGUUACCACAAUCAUCCACUAGAGGUGAUUAAGAUAGAGAUACCGAUGAUAACAUGCUCGAAUUGGAGGAUGAUUCGCACCAAACCGCGAUUGAGAAUGCUAAGUCAAACAAUUUGUCUAAAACUGAGCAUGACAAACGUCUCAAAAAAAGUUGAGGAGAGGCCGAAACAACUACAAGGCCUCCAAGAUCCUACUUUGAUGAACCUCCAUUUAUUCCAAGGUCAAAAUGUCAAAAAAAUUUUAAAUGCCUGAGUUUGAGAAGUACGAUGGUACGACUUGCCCGAGGGCUCAUUUGCAAAUGUACUUGGUUCAAAUGACCCAAUACGUUAAUAAUGCACCAUUAAUGAUCCAGUUGCUCCAAUCAAGUCUAGUAGGCCUACCCUGAGGUGGUACAUCAUGAAGAGCAAGAACCUCCUUGAAACAUGGAGCGAAAUGAGUGAGGCAAUCCUCAAGCAGUAUGUUGACACCUAAAUUUUGCAAUUUUAUUUAGGACUUAAUCGUGUAAUUAGAAAUUAGUUGUUAAAAAAAAGCAAAAACAAAAAUAAAAACAAAAAAAAAAACAAAAAAAAAAAGAGAAAACAUGUGGAAAGGGCCGGGCCAAAUCUCGCCUUGACCUGGCCCAUGCCACCUUCUCCCUCCUCCAUCCCUGCCGUUUCCCCUAGGAGGAGGAGGAAGCAACAAGACAGAGAAGAAG
rnacentral:lncRNA from 1 species